rnacentral:misc_RNA from 1 species
GAUGAAGAACGUAGCAAAAUGCGAUAAGUAAUGUGAAUUGCAGAAUUCAGUGAAUCAUCGAAUCUUUGAACGCACAUUGCGCCCGCCAGUAUUCUGGCGGGCAUGUCUGUUCGAGCGUCAUUUCAACCCUCAAGCACAGCUUGGUGUUGGGACUCGCGUUAAUUCGCGUUCCCCAAAUUGAUUGGCGGUCACGUCGAGCUUCCAUAGCGUAGUAGUAAAACCCUCGUUACUGGUAAUCGUCGCGGCCACGCCGUUAAACCCCAACUUCUGAAUGUUGACCUCGGAUCAGGUAGGAAUACCCGCUGAACUUAAGCAUAUCAAUAAGCGGAGG